rnacentral:rRNA from 1 species
UACGGAGGGUGCAAACGUUGCUCGGAAUCAUUGGGCGUAAAGCGCACGUAGGCGGUCCGCUAAGUCGGGUGUGAAAUCCCUCGGCUCAACCGAGGAAGUGCAUUCGAAACUGACGGACUUGAGUAUGGAAGAGGGUCGUGGAAUUCCCGGUGUAGAGGUGAAAUUCGUAGAUAUCGGGAGGAACACCAGUGGCGAAGGCGGCGACCUGGGCCAAUACUGACGCUGAGGUGCGAAAGCGUGGGGAGCAAACAGG